GAGCGAACGCUGGCGGCAUGCCUAACACAUGCAAGUCGCACGGGGGGGCUUCGGCCUCCCAGUGGCGGACGGGUGAGGAACGCGUAGGGACCUGUCGAGGGGUGGGGGAUAACCGCGGGAAACUGCGGCUAAUACCGCAUGACGCCGCGGCGUGACAGCCGGGGCCAAAGGCGAAAGCCGCCCGCCGAGGGGCCUGCGUCCGAUUAGCUGGUUGGCGGGGUAGCGGCCCACCAAGGCGUCGAUCGGUAGCUGGUCUGAGAGGGUGAUCAGCCACACCGGGACUGAGACACGGCCCGGACUCCUACGGGAGGCAGCAGUGGGGAAUAUUGGACAAUGGGCGCAAGCCUGAUCCAGCAAUGCCGCGUGGGUGAAGAAGGUCUUCGGAUUGUAAAGCCCUUUCGGCGGGGACGAUGGUGACGGUACCCGCAGAAGAAGCCCCGGCUAACUUCGUG
rnacentral:rRNA from 1 species